UCCGCGUCCAGCGCGUCGUCAGAUCUGACCCCAGACCCAGAGGCUGAGGCAGGUCACGCUGGAGGUCCUCACGCGCCAUACGCGCUAACAGAUCCCCCGUUUUCUUUUGAAAGAAAGACUUGAGGGAGAGUCAGGUCAACUCAAUCCAGAUCUCGUUGGGUUCAUUUAUAUGCACCUUCGGCUAUCACCGAAACCAUUCAUCUCACAAGCCUCGGCCCCAUUUCGCUGUUCCCUUCCCAGCAUCUAUAGCAGCAUACCUCAAGUGUUGGAUCUUCUCCAGAAAUGAAUACCGAAGAUGACAAGCAGACUGUUCUAAGCACGUUACCCAAGGACCUACCUCUAGACUUCUUGAAGACCAUCACAGAUCAGUUCUCAGACAACCGUGUUAUCGGUAAAGGUGCAUUUGGAACAGUUUAUACGGGAACUAUGCCUGAUGGGCAAACGAUUGCUGUGAAGAAGCUUGCAGAAAAUGCGCCGAUUGCACGUGACAAAAUAUUUAAUAACGAAGUUCAAAACAUCAUGGCUUACCGACAUGAAAAUAUAGUCAAGUUGGUUGGGUUUUGCCAUGAAGGACAGAAGAAAGUAGUUCUAAACAAUGGGCGAUAUAUUGUCGCAGAUGUUUACGAAGGUCUACUCUGUUACGAAUAUUUACCUAAGGGAAGCCUCCAGAAGAACCUCUUUGACAAACCCAUCAACAUGGCUUGGGACACGCGUUUCAAAAUAAUUAAGGGGAUCUGCGAUGGUUUACUUUUCCUUCAUAGGAUUCCUAUUAUCCACAUGGAUUUGAAGCCUCAAAAUAUAUUGUUGGCCAAUAACAUGACGCCGAAAAUCGCGGACUUUGGACUUUCCAGGCUAUUUGGCCAAGAACAAACACGGGCGAACACACAGAAUGUUGUGGGAUCAUACGGAUACAUAGCUCCAGAAUACCUAUACAGAGGUGAAAUCUCCACUCAGUCCGACAUAUACAGUUUAGGCCUAUUAAUCAUCGAGACUACCACUGGCGAGAAGAAUACCCCCAAACAGAACGAACCAUCAGCAAGGGAAUUUAUUGAAAGAGUACGUCAAAAUUGGACAAAAAGGCACAUAGCGUCCAUAUACAAGUUAAAUCCAAAUGCCCUGCAGGAAGUAACAGUAUGCAUUGAAAUUGGUCUAGAGUGUGUGGACAUUGAUCGGAAGAAGAGACCUUCCAUCGAAAGCAUUGUUGAGAGGCUCGGUAGAUGCUGUGCAAACCUGGUCUCCACCACUUCCAUGCGAACAUGAAACUGGGAUCUUCUAUUGAUGAAAGAAGCAACAUGCAAGAAAAGAGCUUUCUCUGUUAUUACUAUAAUGAAUUUAUUUCUGAAAUAAUCAGUUGUGUUGUCACGUCACCAUGGAACUUGUUAAAUUUAUUAUGGGAUUUUCUCUUCACCUCGAGGAGCAUUGUCCGUCCCGUUGCCAUUGCCAUCGUUGUUCAACUACC